GUGUAGCAAUAUAUCUUAUUUGGAGCGGCGCAGGGGUGCGUAACACGUGGGUAAUCUGCCAUGAAGUAAGGGAUAACCCCGAGAAAUCGGGGCUAAUACCGGAUGUGAAAGCUGGGGGGCAUCUCUUGGUUUUCAAAGCUGGGGAUCGUAAAACCUGGCGCUUCAUGAUGAGCCCGCGGCCUAUCAGCUAGUUGGUGAGGUAACGGCUCACCAAGGCAAAAACGGGUAGCUGGUCUGAGAGGACAACCAGCCACACUGGAACUGAAACACGGUCCAAACACCUACGGGUGGCAGCAGUCGAAAAUUUUUCACAAUGGGCGCAAGCCUGAUGGAGCGACCCCGCGUGGGGGAUGAAUGGCUUCGGCCCGUAAACCCCUGUCAUUUGCGAUCAAACCUUAUUAUUUAAAAGAUGAUGAGCUGAUAGUAGCGAAAGAGGAAGGGACGGCUAACUCUGUG
rnacentral:rRNA from 1 species